AACGCGAAGAACCUUACCUGGGCUUGAACCGCACAGGACCAUUCCUAGAAAUAUCCCUUCCUCGCAAGAGGCUGCUGUAUAGGUGCUGCAUGGCUGUCGUCAGCUCGUGUCGUGAGAUGUUGGGUUAAGUCCCGCAACGAGCGCAACCCUCAUCCCUAGUUGCCACCGGGUAAUGCCGAGCACUCUAGUGAAACCGCCCCGGAUAACGGGGAGGAAGGUGGGGAUGACGUCAAGUCCUCAUGGCCUUUAUGUCCAGGGCUACACACGUGCUACAAUGGUCGGUACAAACCGUCGCAAAGCUGCAAAGUGGAGCUAAUCGGAAAAAGCCGGCCUCAGUUCGGAUUGGAGUCUGCAACUCGACUCCAUGAAGCUGGAAUCGCUAGUAAUCGCAGAUCAGAACGCUGCGGUGAAUACGUUCCCGGGCCUUGUACACACCGCGCAUA
rnacentral:rRNA from 1 species